GGUGGAGAAAUCAUCUUUGCAGGUGUGUAACUUGCAGCAGUUACUACAAAAAGAUGGGAAUUGACUAUCUUACUGAGCAAGAAGACUCCCUUGAGGAAUAUGAGAAGCUGGGAAAGCAGAGGCGGGAAGAGAAGCUGCAACAACAGGAAGGCGCUGAGCUGAGUUUUCUCAAUGGACUUGAUCAUGUUCAAAAGAUUGAAAUUCUGAGUGGCAUUAACGACAUGAAGAACGAGCUCACUUCCUUUCUGGAAUCUUUUGAUUCAUCAAAACCUAUCACCCCAGCUGAUGUACAAGAGGUGUUUGAUAAUCUUAUCAAGAAGAAGAAACAAAGGAUACU
rnacentral:misc_RNA from 1 species